rnacentral:rRNA from 1 species
GACGAACGCUGGCGGCGUGCUUAAUACAUGCAAGUCGAACGGAAAGGCCCUGCUUUUGUGGGGUGCUCGAGUGGCGAACGGGUGAGUAACACGUGAGUAACCUGCCCUUGACUUUGGGAUAACUUCAGGAAACUGGGGCUAAUACCGGAUAGGAGCUCCUGCUGCAUGGUGGGGGUUGGAAAGUUUCGGCGGUUGGGGAUGGACUCGCGGCUUAUCAGCUUGUUGGUGGGGUAGUGGCCUACCAAGGCUUUGACGGGUAGCCGGCCUGAGAGGGUGACCGGCCACAUUGGGACUGAGAUACGGCCCAGACUCCUACGGGAGGCAGCAGUGGGGAAUAUUGCACAAUGGGCGGAAGCCUGAUGCAGCAACGCCGCGUGCGGGAUGACGGCCUUCGGGUUGUAAACCGCUUUCGCCUGUGACGAAGCGUGAGUGACGGUAAUGGGUAAAGAAGCACCGGCUAACUACGUG